GAUGAACGCUGGCGGCGUGCCUAAUACAUGCAAGUCGAGCGAACAGACGAGGAGCUUGCCCCUCUGACGUUAGCGGCGGACGGGUCAGUAACACGUGGAUAACCUACCUAUAAGACUGGGAUAACUUCGGGAAACCGGAGCUAAUACCGGAUAAUAUAUUGAACCGCAUGGUUCAAUAGUGAAAGACGGUUUUGCUGUCACUUAUAGAUGGAUCCGCGCCGCAUUAGCUAGUUGGUAAGGUAACGGCUUACCAAGGCAACGAUGCGUAGCCGACCUGAGAGGGUGAUCGGCCACACUGGAACUGAGACACGGUCCAGACUCCUACGGGAGGCAGCAGUAGGGAAUCUUCCGCAAUGGGCGAAAGCCUGACGGAGCAACGCCGCGUGAGUGAUGAAGGUCUUCGGAUCGUAAAACUCUGUUAUUAGGGAAGAACAAAUGUGUAAGUAACUAUGCACGUCUUGACGGUACCUAAUCAGAAAGCCACGGCUAACUACGUG
rnacentral:rRNA from 1 species